UUGGCCCUAAGUCAAAGCCAUCGGUUUGCUGUAGCCGUCGGUUUCAAGCAGGAGCCCAGAGGAAUUUUCUUCCCGUGGUACGCUGGCUGUUCCAGAGCAUCUCAAGGGUGCGGCCAGUUCACUUGGAAGGGACAAGG
ensembl:snoRNA SNORA2C small nucleolar RNA, H/ACA box 2C